GAUGAACGCUGGCGGCGUGCCUAAUACAUGCAAGUCGAGCGAACAGACGAGGAGCUUGCUCCUCUGACGUUAGCGGCGGACGGGUGAGUAACACGUGUAUAACCUACCUAUAAGACUGGGAUAACUUCGGGAAACCGGCGCUAAUACCGGAUAAUAUAUUGAUCCGCAUGGUUCAAUAGUGAAAGACGGCUUUGCUGUCACUUAUAGCUGGAUCCGCGCCGGAUGAGCUAGUUGGUACGGUAACAGCUUACCAAGGCAACGAUGCGUAGCCGACCUGAGAGGGUGAUCGGCCACACUAGAACGGAGACACGGUCCAGACUCCUACGGGAGGCAGCAGUAGGGAAUCUGCCGCAAUGGGCGAAAGCCUGACGGAGCAACGCCGCGUGAGUUAUGAAGGUCUUCGGAUCGUAAAACUCUGUUAUUAGGGAAGAACAAAUGUGUAAGUAACUAUGCACGUCUUGACGGUACCUAAUCAGAAAGCCACGGCUAACUACGUG
rnacentral:rRNA from 1 species